rnacentral:rRNA from 1 species
AUUGAACGCUGGCGGCGUGCUUAACACAUGCAAGUCGAACGAGAUCUUCGGAUCUAGUGGCAGACGGGUGAGGAACACGUGGGAACAUCCCUUUCAGUUCGGAAUAACGUUGGGAAACUAACGCUAAUACCGGAUACGUCCUUCGGGAGAAAGGUUUAUCGCUGAAAGAUUGGCCCGCGUCUGAUUAGCUAGUUGGUGAGGUAAUGGCUCACCAAGGCUACGAUCAGUAGCUGAUCUGAGAGGAUGAUCAGCCACAUUGGGACUGAGACACGGCCCAAACUCCUACGGGAGGCAGCAGUGGGGAAUAUUGGACAAUGGGCGCAAGCCUGAUCCAGCCAUGCCGCGUGAGUGAUGACGGCCUUCGGGUUGUAAAGCUCUUUUGUCCGGGAAGAUAAUGACUGUACCGGAAGAAUAAGCCCCGGCAAACUUCGUGCCAGCAGCCGCCGUAA